rnacentral:lncRNA from 1 species
CCGUAGAUCGUUAUGGCGCCGUUGGUCUCUUCGGCGGAGAGGUCCCACGAUUCGAAGGUGAAGGCCUUGACUACGUCGAUGCUCUUGUAGGAGGUGAGGUUGUAGCGGCGGAGGGUGACGGCGGAGCCGGAGGUGGAGGGGAGGGCGAGGAGGGCUUCGGCGCCGGCCAUUCCGCCGCCGGCAAGGUUGAGGCCCCAGGCGACCCAGCCGGAGGGGGAGGGAGGAGAGGCGGAGAAGGCGACGGAGAGGGUGCGGUUGGUGGCGUUGAAGGUGAAGUGGAGGGUGGCGCCGAGGGUGGGGAGGUUGGUGCAGUUGGCGUAGGUGCGGUUGAGCUUCUGGGAAGCACAAGUGAGGGCAGAAUGGGAAGGGGUGGAAAAUAGAGAAAAUAGAAUGAUGAAGAGGGAAAUGGUGGUCAUGGGUGUGAAGGGUAGAUCAUGGAGUGCCAUUGGUGGUGGGACUGAAAAA